rnacentral:tRNA from 1 species
GUCUUCGUAGUAUAACAAAAUACACUGGUCUUGUAAACCAAAAAUGGAGAAUAAACCCUCCCCAAGACU